GGUUUGAACUUCAAGGACUUUGUUCCCUUCUUGUCAGCAUUCAGUGCUAAAGCAAGUGUACAGUAGAAAAUAAAAAUUAUCUUCAAAGUGUAUGAUUCUGAUGGCAAUGGAAAGGAGUCUUUCAAUGACAUACUAGAAGUGUUACGUGAUUUGUCCGGUUCGUUUAUUUCUGAU